AUUGAACGCUGGCGGCAGGCUUAACACAUGCAAGUCGAGCGGCAGCACGGGAGCAAUCCUGGUGGCGAGUGGCGAACGGGUGAGUAAAGUAUCGGAACGUGCCCAGUCGUGGGGGAUAACGUAGCGAAAGUUACGCUAAUACCGCAUACGAUCUAUGGAUGAAAGCGGGGGAUCGCAAGACCUCGCGCGAUUGGAGCGGCCGAUAUCAGAUUAGGUAGUUGGUGGGGUAAAGGCUCACCAAGCCGACGAUCUGUAGCUGGUCUGAGAGGACGACCAGCCACACUGGGACUGAGACACGGCCCAGACUCCUACGGGAGGCAGCAGUGGGGAAUUUUGGACAAUGGGCGAAAGCCUGAUCCAGCCAUGCCGCGUGCAGGAUGAAGGCCUUCGGGUUGUAAACUGCUUUUGUACGGAACGAAAAGGUUUGGCCUAAUAAGCUGAGCUCAUGACGGUACCGUAAGAAUAAGCACCGGCUAACUACGUGCCAGCAGCCGCAGUAA
rnacentral:rRNA from 1 species